rnacentral:misc_RNA from 1 species
UGUUAUCCCCAAAUAUCAACAUUCUUUAAGAAUAUUGAUUAUUUCAGCUUUAUAAGACAAAAUCAGGUUACCAUUAAUACAUUUCACAAUAAAACAUAAACAACUUAAACAUAGCUGUCGAUUAAUGAUUUCCUCAUCUCAUCGACUAUGGCACUAGGCUGAGCUUCCCUCAGUUUGAAAACACUCUCAAUAACAGAGAGUUCAGUAGCUGUAGUAUCUGACCCACAGAAUGCUGUCCAAUCAUUCACAGUCAUGCCAGCAGCUAUCACUUCACUGCCACGGUUAACAGUACCAGCCACUAAAGGCACCUGAAGGAGAGUAGAAAGUUCAUCCAAGUCUUCAAUAGACGUAUGAGGAUGAACCUGUUCCAACAAAAGUUAAAAAGAUCAACAAGGUAUGAACGCUUGGUCACUCCACAGCAGAUAAGUCAAAUCACAAAAAAUAUGCUAAGUUGUUCAAAAGCUGAAAAUAAGUUUUAUUUUGAUUUGUUAGUAAUAGUUUUGAUUUUAUGAGAUUUUCAUGCAGUUUGUUAUAUCUUGGGUUGUAUAAAUACCAAAUUAAUCAAUAAAAUUCUAAAGACCAAUUUAGUCUGUCUCAUUAUAUGCCCUAUAUCCUUCUUUUUAAAAACCAACAAAAGCAAAUGAAUUCUUACCAAGCCACCUCUAUUAGAAAAGGCACAGUAGCUGCCCACAAGAAUAUUACCAGCAAUUGUCUGCCUAAAAACUUCUACACCAAGAACAUCUGCAAUCAUUUCCUCUGUUUCCUUGUCAAGAUCUGUAUGUGUUAGAGCAACGUGGUCAUUGCAGGCUAUACAAUUUCCCAAGGCAGAUAAUCUCUCUUCAAUUCGUUGAACCACAACACUAUCAGGUAGACUGUUUCUCAAAUGUUGAAGUUCUUGGUCGGUGGUGUUGUGGGGCAACAGAAGCCCAUUUUUGUUUCCAGCACAAAGACGGCCAAUAAUCCUAGUGCCUGCAAUGGAAGUUUUAACUACAGGGAUAACAUCCGCUAACUCAGCUUCGAAUGUGCUGUAGAAACUUUCAGAGCCUCCAAUGGCAACCAAACAAUAAGCAUUGGUGAGCUUGGAGAACACUCCAACCUCACAUGAGUUCUCAAACAUAAGCCUAGUCGCCAUGAUCGGAAGAAAUCUGAGAUAAUCCUGUUUUCGAUUGUAGAGAGAGAGAAGGAUAAGGGAGAGCAAGAGCUUCCUUCCUUUGACUAUGGUUGGGAAUUGGGUAGUGAUUA